AGAUGCGAGAGUAGAGCAUAUCAAUAAGCGGAGGAAAAGAAACUAACAAGGAUUCCCUUAGUAACGGCGAGUGAAGCGGGAAGAGCUCAAAUUUGAAAUCUUCAAGGUUCUACCUUGACGAAUUGUAGUUUAAAGAAGUGUUUUCUGUUAGAUGAGUAGCAAAAGUUCCUUGGAAUGGGACAUCAUAGAGGGUGAGAAUCCCGUAUUUGGUUAUUCAUUCUAGCUUUGUGAUACACUUUCAAAGAGUCGGAUUGUUUGGGAAUGCAGUCCAAAAUGGGUGGUAAAUUUCAUCUAAAGCUAAAUAUUGGCGAGAGACCGAUAGCGAACAAGUACCGUGAGGGAAAGAUGAAAAGAACUUCGAAAAGAGAGUUAAACAGUACGUGAAAUUGUCAAAAGGGAAGCGUUUGACACCAGUGUUGUUUUCUCGAAAAUCAAUUACGAAUGGCUUGAUUUUGUGUUGUAUUGACCUUAUCAGCUUUCUGCACUUUUUUCGAGUCUUUCUUAAUGCACUUUUCGGUUAACAAGUCAACAUCAAUUUCUUUUGUUGUAAAAGAGUAUUCGGAAGGUGGCUUUCUUUUCGGAGAAAGUGUUUAUAGCCCUAUACUUCUACAAUCGGAGAGAUUGAGGUCUGCAGCGUAGAUCCUUCGGGGUUAGAUACAUUUGUGCUAAGUUGUAGCUUUUCCAUAGACAACUUGUUGACUAUGUUUAGUCAUGCGGCUUACUCGCUUAUGCUAUUUUACCUACGCUUAGGAUGUUGAGCGCAUGUCUCUCUCU
rnacentral:rRNA from 1 species